GUGCUGCUUCGGCAGCACAUAUACUAAAAUUGGAAUGAUACAGAGAACAUUAGCAUGGCCCCUGAGCAAGGAUGAUAUGCAAAUUCAUGAAGUGUUCCAUAUUUUA
rnacentral:snRNA from 1 species